AAAAAUCUCCCUCUCUAUUUGUUUCAAAAUCUUCUUUGUGUGAACUAUUUUUGUUCUAAACUUUGACCACUUUGCAAAAAGAUAGAAACAUUGGGCUUAUGCCAUUGCAUUUUUAAACUUCUUUUCUUAAAUCAAACUUGUAAAUAAACUUAAAUAUAUUUGACCUAAACUUUAAAAAAUCCAAAAAGAACUAACUCAUUCAAAUCAUUUUAGGCCUUUGUGCCUUUCAAACUUUAUUUUUGUUAAAAGCAAUGCAUCCACUUUGAAAUUUGUAUCACGAACUACGAGGUUUUGAUCCCUCAUUUCUAUGUUGGUACGUAGGCACAAGACCGAAGGUCUUGUCAAACACAAAAAUGUAAUUAAUGAAUUCUUCUCUC
rnacentral:lncRNA from 1 species